ensembl:lncRNA
UUUACUAUUUCAAUGGUACCUUCACUCUCUGCUUUUAUAGUUUCCUAUUCUUUCAGGCAUUUUCUACCACUUCGCUUUCCUUUCAGUGCCAGUUUAGAUUGUCCUGAAUGAUUUACAUUAUUACAAAUUUUCAUUUACUGCUGCAGGUGGACAGUGUUGAUGAUCUUCUUGGUGCUUCCAUGAUUCCAGAGGCAAAUGCUGAGCUUCUAUUGAAGUAAGUCAGGGAUUGUGGAAACAGUUUCUGAUGCAUUUUAUUCUUGGGCAUAAUCAACACAUGGGGAGAUUUUUAUGGUUGGGGUGAUGUAAAGGAAAUGAUUCAAGUAUUCCCUCAUCUUUGGUUUUCAGUCCACAGAAACUGAGUAGAAUUCAUUCUUAAUAUGGUCAAAUGGAUCUAAGUCUCAGUUCCAUUUCUUUGAAUGUAGAAAGAUGCUACAGUCCAAAUUAAAAGGAAAAAAGUGACCUUGUUCUUAAAGCGAACAAAGACCGAUCUGGUGCUGUUACAGGAGACAGAAUUAGCACACUGGAAGUUGAGAAAUGAGGAGGUGAUGACAAAGCAGUGUUUUGCAGCUUCUCAGAGAGAUUCAGGAGUUCAAAUAAGCCCAUCUGGAAGCCAGCUCUGCAGACUAUUUCCAGAGCAGCAAGCAAUACUGGUAAAGACCAAGCAAUACUGGUAAAGACUGAUUAAUUAUUUUUUUUCUUUAAUCCUGUCAUAGUCCUAUUCCACAGAACACUGACAUUUAAUUUACAUGCCAGUAUAUUUAUACCAUGGAAAGAAACAAACAGGUGACACCCACUUCUGCAGAACACAACUGGAGUUCUCUAAGUACUUCCUCUAAGUAUUCUUUGUAAAUGAAAUGAGUCAGCUAUGCAGGACAGCAUCACCCUUCUCACAGCCUGCAGGCUCCGUGGCAGGGAUGUGUGGCGAGUGACAGGAACUGGGUAAGUUUGCAUGCCAGUGGGAGCAAUGAAAUAAUUUCUCAUGCUAAGGCUGGCUGUACAAGCUGAGGUCUUCCCACUUUCUGAGGAGAUGCUGUUUUUCCUCUCCACACACUGAGCGCUGCAGCUGGCAGCUCCUGGAAGCUGCAGGAAGGCUCUUGCCAUAAUCAUCUACUGAUUCCACUAAGCAUAAGCUCACAUGCAAUUAAGAACAUGUAUCUUAGGUUCUCAAGGAAAAAGAGCACUGGGGGGUGCUUUGCUAACACUUUAGUUGAUGGUAUUUGGCACAAAAGUUAGGUCACUGUAUCUUGGAGUGACUCCUCUGUCACUCUUAAGUGCACAUUUUGGCUUGAUUACACCAUGGGAAAUGCCAGACUCUUCUUGUUGUUGCAAGUAGUGUGAUUCUGAUGUUUAUCACUCACAUUUACCUGCCCUUUCCUUAGUCACAGCUAAAAUACCACUUAUUCAGAGCCACCUCCUAAUUAAAACCUUGGCAGGUUGCACCUAGAGAUUUUCUGUUUCAGCAUAUGACUUUGCUGGCUCCGGGUCUUUUGAAAUUCCUGGUCAGACACAAUUUAGUAUCCAUCUGCCAGACUGCUCUGUCCCAAAGCAUAAAUUACAAGCAGCUGGAGUUCAUGUUAGGGAUGUAAAUACAACUGACUUCCAACCCAUUAAUUCCAACUCAUUGAUCUAUUAAUUUCAAAUCAUUAAUUAAAUUCAGUGGUGAUGAGAUAGU